CACGUUCAAAAACAUGAAACACAACCGCAAGGCCAACUACGAGUUCAUACCAGAGGACAUUCUCAAAAAGGGGCAGUUCCUACGCAAAGGUAAAAUCGGGGAGUGGAAGAACAUGUUCACAGUGGCCCAGAGUGAGAGGUUUGACCAGGUCUAUGAGGAGCGGAUGAAGGACGUGACUCUGAAGUUCAUCUGGGACAUGGAUCAACAAUCAGAGUGAUGGAAAGGUGGAGCCUGCAGCUCUGCCACCACAAACUACCCAGUGGACACUAAAGCCAUGGACAUUCAUGUCAAUUAUCUGUUGAAUGUACCAAAACUUGAUAUCCAUUACAGACAAAGGUCUCUUCUU